rnacentral:rRNA from 1 species
AACGAACGCUGGCGGCAUGCCUAACACAUGCAAGUCGAACGAUCCCUUCGGGGAUAGUGGCGCACGGGUUCGUAACGCGUGGGAACCUGCCCUUAGGUUCGGAAUAACUCAGAGAAAUUUGAGCUAAUACCGGAUAAUGUCUUCGGACCAAAGAUUUAUCGCCCUUGGAUGGGCCCGCGUUGGAUUAGCUAGUUGGUGGGGUAAUGGCCUCCCAAGGCGACGAUCCAUAGCUGGGCUGAGAGGAUGAGCAGCCACACUGGGACUGAGACACGGCCCAGACUCCUACGGGAAGCAGCAGUGGGGAAUAUUGCACAAUGGGCGAAAGCCUGAUCCAGCAAUGCCGCGUGAGUGAUGAAGGCCUUAGGGUUGUAAAGCUCUUUUAACCGGGAUGAUAAUGACAGUACCGGGAGAAUAAGCCCCGGCUAACUCCGUG